UACGAAGGGGGCUAGCGUUGCUCGGAAUCACUGGGCGUAAAGCGCACGUAGGCGGCUUUUUAAGUCGGUGGUGAAAUCCUGGAGCUCAACUCCAGAACUGCCUCCUAUACUGAAAGGCUCGAGUCCGGGAGAGGUGAGUGGAACUGCGAGUGUAGAGGUGAAAUUCGUAGAUAUUCGCAAGAACACCAGUGGCGAAGGCGGCUCACUGGCCCGGUACUGACGCUGAGGUGCGAAAGCGUGGGGAGCAAACAGG
rnacentral:rRNA from 1 species